UGGUCUCCACUUCUUAACGAGCACCCAAGCGAGAAACAAACAGCAAAAACAAUGGCAACCUCCAUUAGCACACCAAAGCUCUGCUUCUCUUGUCCAACCCUCCAAACCCUUUGCAGAAGAUUCCCCGUAAUCUCUCCUCUCUUCAUCUCUUCUCAACAUCCAUCUCUCACUCUCUUCAAAGCCCAACCCCGUUUCUCUCACUUCCGUUCCUCUUUACCUUCCUGUCGCCGCUUCUCCGUCAGAGCAGAGUCCGACAAUGGUGCCGAGCCUGCCCACUACGAUUUCGACCUCUUCACUAUAGGCGCCGGCAGCGGCGGCGUCAGGGCUUCGCGCUUCGCAGCUAGUUUUGGAGCUUCCGUUGCCGUGUGUGAGCUUCCUUUUGCCACAAUUUCUUCGGAGACUGCUGGAGGGGUCGGUGGAACGUGCGUGCUUCGUGGAUGUGUACCGAAAAAACUGCUUGUAUACUCAUCCAAAUAUUCCCAUGAAUUUGAAGAAAGUUGUGGUUUUGGAUGGAAAUAUGACACUGAUCCUCAGCAUGAUUGGAGUAUUUUGAUGGCUAACAAGAAUGCUGAGUUACAGCGUCUUACCGGCAUCUACAAAAAUAUAUUGAAAAAUGCGGGCGUCACAUUGAUUGAAGGUCGUGGAAAGAUUGUGGGUCCACACACUGUUGAUGUAGACGGGAAGCUCUACUCUGCAAGGCACAUACUGAUUUCAGUUGGUGGGCGCCCUUUCAUCCCUGAUAUCCCUGGGAGUGAAUUUGCCAUAGAUUCAGAUGUUGCCCUUGAUUUGCCUUCUAGACCAAAGAAAAUUGCAAUUGUUGGAGGUGGCUACAUAGCUUUGGAAUUUGCUGGCAUCUUCAAUGGUUUUAAAAGUGAGGUUCAUGUAUUCAUACGGCAGAAAAAGGUUUUAAGAGGCUUUGAUGAAGAGAUGAGAGAUUUCAUUGCUGAACAGAUGUCUCUCAGAGGAAUCGAGUUCCACACACAGGAGUUACCUCAGGCUAUUCUAAAAUCAACAGAUGGUUCACUAUCCUUGAAGACUAACAGAGGAACUGUGGAAGGUUUCUCACAUAUCAUGUUUGCGACAGGACGCAGACCUAACACAAAGAACUUGGGACUUGAGCCUGUUGGGGUGAGAAUGUCGGAGAAUGGAGCAAUAGAGGUUGAUGAAUACUCUCGUACAUCAGUUCCAUCCAUUUGGGCUGUUGGAGAUGUUACUGAUAGGAUAAAUCUUACUCCAGUUGCAUUAAUGGAGGGAGCUGCACUGGCCAAAACACUGUUUGGGGAUGAACCUACAGUACCAGAUUACCGAGCUGUACCAUCUGCUGUGUUUUCCCAGCCACCCAUCGGACAAGUUGGUCUUACCGAAGAGCAGGCAAUCCUAGAACAUGGUGAUGUUGAUGUCUUCACUGCAAACUUCAGACCCUUGAAGGCCACUCUCUCUGGGCUUCCUGAUCGUAUCUUCAUGAAACUCAUAGUUUGUGCAAAGACAAAUAAGGUUUUGGGGUUGCACAUGUGUGGCGAAGAUUCACCUGAAAUUGUGCAGGGAUUUGCAGUGGCUGUGAAAGCCGGAUUGACCAAGGCAGACUUUGAUGCCACUGUGGGUAUUCAUCCAACAGCGGCUGAGGAGCUUGUCACGAUGAGGAGUCCAACUCGGAAGAUUCGAAACAAUCCUACUUCUGAGGGCAAGGCAGAUCCUGAGUUUAAAGCUGCAGCAGGGGUUUAGCAUGUCUAGAAUCUCAAAACAAUCUGCUACUGGAUACAGUUUCUUCUAGGAGCCAGACUGUUUUCAUUUUGGUACUCACAAUUUUUUUACUGCGAAUGAUUCCAAAUGGCAGUGAAGGUAGCGUUACAGGAAAUUGAGGUUGAGAUCCUGACAAUGGAACAGUCGUUGGUAAGGCUUUCUGAAGGGGAGACUGAAGAAUGCAGGUUCCCUGCUGGGGAGCGACUAAAGAGAACUUGAGAAGUAAAAGGUCUUGAGAAAUCAUCUGUAGUUGUGUAUUUAUAUGUAGUUAUUUACUUGCUGCACAAGGUGAGUGCCGUUGCAUUUUGAGAGCCAUAUUAUGGGUUUUCCAUAUCUAUAUAAUUUUGAAGCGUCAAUGGAUCAAUAUUGUAUAUUAGCUUCAUAACAGUGCAUAGAUUAGCCGAGGUGUGAAUAAUAAAUCAACAACGUAAUGAUUUGAUCCCAAA